rnacentral:rRNA from 1 species
UUAGCGGCGGACGGGAGAGUAACACGUAGGCAACCUGCCCUCAAGCUUGGGACAACUACCGGAAACGGUAGCUAAUACCGAAUACUUGUUUUCUUCGCCUGAAGGGAACUGGAAAGACGGAGCAAUCUGUCACUUGAGGAUGGGCCUGCGGCGCAUUAGCUAGUUGGUGAGGUAACGGCUCACCAAGGCGACGAUGCGUAGCCGACCUGAGAGGGUGAUCGGCCACACUGGGACUGAGACACGGCCCAGACUCCUACGGGAGGCAGCAGUAGGGAAUCUUCCGCAAUGGGCGAAAGCCUGACGGAGCAAUGCCGCGUGAGUGAUGAAGGUUUUCGGAUCGUAAAGCUCUGUUGCCAGGGAAGAACGCUUGGGAGAGUAACUGCUCCCAAGGUGACGGUACCUGAGAAGAAAGCCCCGGCUAACUACGUGCCAGCAGCCGCGGUAAUACGUAGGGGGCAAGCGUUGUCCGGAAUUAUUGGGCGUAAAGCGCGCGCAGGCGGUCAUGUAAGUCUGGUGUUUAAUCCCGGGGCUCAACCCCGGAUCGCACUGGAAACUGCGUGACUUGAGUGCAGAAGAGGAGAGUGGAAUUCCACGUGUAGCGGUGAAAAUGCGUAGAGAUGUGGAGGAACACCAGUGGCGGAAGCGACUCUCUUGGGCUGUAACUGACGCUGAGGCGCGAAAGCGUGGGGGAGCAAACAGGAUUAGAUACCCUGGUAGUCCACCGCCGUAAACGAUGAAUGCUAGGUGU